CUCAGUAACUAGGCAGCAGGGAGAAGCCAAAGUGAAGCCAGCAUCCAGCGGUGGAGCCUUUGCCUUUUCUCUUUAUGCUCCAGGUGCACCAGAGGACGGAUGCGGCUUUGCUGACAGAGAGUCUGCGGCCUGGACAUGCCAGCGGUGCAGGUCUGAGGUCAGCACUGGGGAGCCGGGCUGGGCCCCACCAGGGCGAGACAUCUGCUUUCAAUCAGCUGCCCUUCUGCCCGAGAAGGGGGUGAGGGCUGAGACCUCCCCCAAGCCCAACUUCUCAUCACACAGAAUGGACACUGAGGGCAAAGGAGGCAGGAGAAGCUCUAGAGACCCAGGUCAAAGAGAUAGAGGUUUAUUUUUGUUAAGCCACUUAAACUAAAUCCUUCAAUAGCUCUCUUUUGCAAGGCCAUGCCCAGUCCGGCCAGUCAGCCCCCAGCCUCCCCCCGCGCCGCCCCAGCUCAUGCUGCCUUGUCGCAAGCCUCUGGCUUGUCCGCCACUCGAGGGCUUUGCACUCACGCCCUGGGGGCCCCUGCCCUGCCCUGUGCAGGCUGACUUGUCAUCCUUCAGCUGAAAUCCCACUUACUCAGGAAAGGCUGUGGACGCAUUUCUCCAACCCUGUUGACAAUCUUGUUGAACACAGUUUGCUUUGUACCUAUGUGUUCAUCUGCAUGGCUACUGAAUGUCUGCCCCCCACCCCACUCUAGACUGUAAGCCCCAUGCGGGCAGGAGCUAAGGCUGUCUUCCUCAGGACAAUAUCCCUAAAAUUCAGAGCAGGGCCUGCCACAGAGUAUGCGCUCAAUAAAUACUUGCCGAA
rnacentral:lncRNA from 10 species